CUGACACCAGGGAAACAAAACAAUCCCGAAGAACAAAUUUAUCUUCAUAUGAACGUAAAAAAAACAAGGAAAAAAAUAUGAAGCAAAAAAAAAAGCAAAAAAUCAAACUUCGGCAAAUUAACCGAUAAACAAAUUUGGAAAGAUAAAAAUAUAUUCCAUUAUUAUCCGAUAGAGUCCCAUUCUUAUCUACCUAUCUUUCCCUCUUUCCCUUCCUUUCCUUCACCUACACAGCGAUCAGCCAUGCAUAGUGUAAUAAUUAGGACGUAAAAGACUAUUAAUAUCCUAUAGAAACCGAUUUUUAUUAAUCUUUUCCUCCUUGCUUUCCCUCCAUCCACAAGCUACACAUUUUUCCUCCUUCCUUCUCCUUCCUUUCCCUCCUUCCACAAGCAACACAUAUACAGCGUUCGGCCAUGCAAAGUGUAGUAUUAAGCAGAACACAAAACCCCUUUUUAUUUACCAUUUCUCUCUUUCACUUCCUUUUCCUCCUUCCUUCUCCCUCCUUUCCCUCCUUCCACAAGCAACACAUAUACAGCGUUCGGCCAUGCAUAUAUAAGCUAUAAGGAGUUCUCGUAGUAUUUUGUGUUUGGUUGGGGUGCUUACAAACUAGUGGUACACCUAUACAGCGUUCAGCCAUUCACAUAUAUAGUGUAGUAAGUAUAACACUCAUCUCCGUAAUCGUCAGCCUGAAGAGUCAAACAAAUUAGGCCGGGCAGCAUAUUCCCGAAGUCUCUACUAGUAUGGGCCGCCAGCUCUUGAACAGGGCAGUCUAGGUUAGAUUAGAUUAUGAGCCGCCUACUCUUGAACAGGGCAGUAUAGGUUAGGUUAGAUUAUGUGCCGCCUACUCUUGAACAGGGCAGUAUAGGUUAGGUUAGACUAUGUGCCGCCUACUCUUGAACAGGGCAGUAUAGGUUAGGUUAGACUAUGUGCCGCCUACUCUUGAACAGGGCAGUAUAGGUUAGGUUAGACUAUGUGCCGCCUACUCUUGAACAGGGCAGUAUAGGUUAGGUUAGAUUAUGUGGCGCCUACUCUUGAACAGGGCAGUAUAGGUUAGGUUAGAUUAUGAGCCGCCUACUCUUGAACAGGGCAGUAUAGGUUAGGUUAGAUUAUGAGCCGCCUACUCUUGAACAGGGCAGUAUAGGUUAGGUUAGAUUAUGUGCCGCCUACUCUUGAACAGGGCAGUAUAGGUUAGGUUAAAUUAUGUGCCGCCUACUCUUGAACAGGGCAGUAUAGGUUAGGUUAGACUAUGUGCCGCCUACUCUUGAACAGGGCAGUAUAGGUUAGGUUAGACUAUGUGCCGCCUACUCUUGAACAGGGCAGUAUAGGUUAGGUUAGACUAUGUGGCGCCUACUCUUG